UUUCCGUAGGUGAACCUGCGGAAGGAUCAUUCACAGAGCGAGUGGGCCCGUCCCCUCCUCCAUCCCAUGCGUACCUUCUAGUCUCUGCCUCGGCCGGCGUCCCCGCUUCACGGCGGGGGCCCACGCCCGCCGGGGCCCCUCUCAAACCUAGUUGUCCAACGUUGACGUCUGAGUGAUUAUACAAACCAAAACAAAACUUUCAACAAUGGAUCUCUUGGCUCCGGCAUCGAUGAAGAACGCAGC
rnacentral:misc_RNA from 1 species